UGUACAUCUGUCAUCUCCGCAGGAGGGAGGCCAAAGCAGGAAGAUUGCAAGUUGGAGGCCUGCCUGGGUUACAUUUGCUUCAAAAAACAAACCCUCACGACACUGGACGGAAUCCUCCUCGAUGAACAGAGAGCCACAGAACAGGUGACCAGUGAUGCCCUGCCCAAAGCAGGAGCAGUUACCCCGAGGGAUGAGGCUGUCCCCUUGGACGGGAGCCUUCAGGUCAGGUCAGGACAGGUCUGGACCUGUGCUCUUGAGCAUCUGCAGGUUUCGAAGCAUCUCACAGAGCUGGCCUGAGAUAAUGACGACGAGGUCCCCGGCUGCCCAGGGUCACCUGUGCUACCACCCUGCACCCUCAGCUCUGCGCACCCGGCCCUGCUUUGCUCCUCUUGCUAUCAAGUCCUAACUCCAUCAGCCCCUUCAGGCAGGGCUGGGGCCUCCACUGUCCUUCCAGGCAUGGCCUCGCUGAUCAAAGCUCUUUCCAGAACCGGGAGUCUCCUCAGUACGGUGUUCUGGGAGCCCUGACCUGGGGCCCGAAGCACUGGUCACAGCAGGAAAUGGACCAGCAAAGAGAGCUACGCCUGUGGGACACUUGAGCAGAGGAUGGUGUGCACAUUGGGCUAUUCCACAGGCGUGGGGCGAACAGGGACUCAGGCACUGCCAGAGACACAAGUGGUGGCCUGGGGGUACAAUGUUAAGGGUCGUGGGAGGCAGCGGAUUUGUCCCGCGCUCCAACCAGCUGUUGGCCCGCGACCAGUGCAGAGAUGUGCUGAGUGCAUAUAUUUCAAAUUUCACUAUUCUUUUUUUUUUUGGUACCGGGAAUCGAACUCAGGACCUUGUGCUUGCCAGGCAGGCGCUUGUGCCACCGAGUUAUAUCCCCAGACCUGUACUUCAGAUUUCAAAGACUUAGCGUGAGGGGAGGUUAAGACACUGGUAAUUUUUACUGAUUACAUACUGAAGUGACAUCACAGGUUUAUUGUAUUAAAUAACCUUUUUUCCCCAGCACUUGAGAUUGAUAUCAAGGCCUUCGCGCUGAAGUGCAUCCCCAGCCCCUCUUUGUCCUUAUUUUUUAUUCCGUAACAGGUCCUGAUCAAUGCUUGUGUCUGGAUGUCCCCCCAAGCCUCACGCGGUCAUUGGUGGGGCUUUUUCAGACUGCGGGGCGUGUGACGCUGAGGUUAAGGGUGUGAUCGCCGAGUCAGCCCACUGAUUGGUUUGGCGGCGGCCUAGCCCGGGUAGCCUGGAUACAAUACAGGGCACACAACGAGGCUUGUGCUCUCCCUCGCUUGCUGCCUGCUGCCUGCUGCCUGCCGUGAACUGUUUCUCCUCCGUGAUUCCCGUCCGCCACGCCACCCCGCCUAGGAGCCUGCCUAUCACGGUCUGAAACAGCCACAAGCUGUGAGCUAAAUAAAGCUUUCCUCCCUUAA